rnacentral:lncRNA from 1 species
CCUAUCAACAAUUCUUUUUGGCUCUUGUAGUAAAAAAUUUGGAUAAUAAAUGUCACGCCCCGAAUUACCACGUUUUUCCGGGCACGUCAACAGACCCGCCGUAUAUAUAGAAAUUUUUCGUGUAUGCGAAGCGAUAGCUGUACCUGUAAGCACGACAAAUCUACACCGGUCUACAACACCUCUUCGCUCCAGCGAGUACAGCAACAACAAAAAUCUCCUCGAACGCUCGAACGCUCACCCAACGUCGGCAAGAAGUCGACAGGA